rnacentral:tRNA from 1 species
GGUCGUUUAGCUCAGCUGGUUAGAGCGCUGCAUUCACAUUGCAGAGGUCAGUGGUUCGAGUCCACUAACGACCACAA